CAGAGCUUAGUGUGCAGAUGGAGUCUUCAGCUCAACUCCUCUUCCUCCUGUUCCUUUGGUUCCCAGAUUUGAAAGGGGAAGUUGUUCUGACCCAAUCUCCAGAGACGCUCUCUGCAGCUGUAGGAGAGAGAGUCACCAUCAACUGCAAGGCCAGUCAGAGUCUCUUACAUGGUAAUGGGCAUACUUACCUACAUUGGUAUCAACUGAAAAGAGAAAAACCUAUUAAAUCUCUGAUUUACAGAGUUUCCAAUCUAACUCCUGGUAUUCCCUCUCGAUUCAGUGGUAGUGGGUCUGGGACAGAUUUCACUCUCACAAUCAGCAGCCUAGAAUCUGAAGAUGGUGCAGUGUACUUCUGUGGGCAGAGCACUUACUGGUCUCCUACACAGUGCUACAGCCCUGAACAAAAUCAUUCCCUGAGGUCAGGGGGACAGCUGCUUCCCCUAGAGUCCUACAUUCACAGCAGCUACUACGCUAAGGUUAAGAUAGACUUUUUCUCAGCCCUCAUCUGAGAAGACCUUUCUUCAAUCUAUACUACUUACCUCCCUGCUUAAGAUUGAGUGUAACAUGAUGGA